rnacentral:tRNA from 1 species
GCACGCAUAGUUUUAAAUCAAACAUUAGGCUGUGAUCCUAGAAAUAGAAGUUAAACUCUUCUUGCCUGCC